rnacentral:rRNA from 1 species
AGUGAACGCUGGCGGUAGGCCUAACACAUGCAAGUCGAACGGCAGCACAGUAAGAGCUUGCUCUUACGGGUGGCGAGUGGCGGACGGGUGAGGAAUACAUCGGAAUCUACUUUUUCGUGGGGGAUAACGUAGGGAAACUUACGCUAAUACCGCAUACGACCUACGGGUGAAAGCAGGGGAUCUUCGGACCUUGCGCGAUUGAAUGAGCCGAUGUCGGAUUAGCUAGUUGGCGGGGUAAAGGCCCACCAAGGCGACGAUCCGUAGCUGGUCUGAGAGGAUGAUCAGCCACACUGGAACCGAGACACGGUCCAGACUCCUACGGGAGGCAGCAGUGGGGAAUAUUGGACAAUGGGCGCAAUCCUGAUCCAGCCAUACCGCGUGGGUGAAGAAGGCCUUCGGGUUGUAAAGCCCUUUUGUUGGGAAAGAAAAGCAGCAGGUUAAUACCCCGCUGUUCUGACGGUACCCAAAGAAUAAGCACCGGCUAACUUCGUG